UGAACGACUCUCGGCAACGGAUAUCUCGGCUCUCGCAUCGAUGAAGAACGUAGCGAAAUGCGAUACUUGGUGUGAAUUGCAGAAUCCCGUGAACCAUCGAGUCUUUGAACGCAAGUUGCGCCCGAAGCCUCGGCUGAGGGCACGUCUGCCUGGGUGUCACACA
rnacentral:rRNA from 1 species